UACAGAAGUCAAACACACUGUAUAGCGCUAGAAGCUAAGCAGGGUUGAGCCUGGUCAGUACCUGGAUGGAAGACCUCCUGGGAAGCUAUGGUCGCUGCUGGAA
rnacentral:rRNA from 1 species